UGUUAGAUCGCAGAUCCUUAACCUAUACUCCUGGAGAUGCUCAUCUAGUAAGUCCAGGGUGGGGCCCAGGAAUCUGCAUUUUUAGCAAACACCCAGGUGAGUCUGA
rnacentral:miRNA from 1 species